AUCAAAGGUACUGUGUGGAAGUGGGAUUCGAACCAAGGGUUUUUGGGUUGCAAGGCAACAGCCCUUGACCACUGUAUCACCUGCUGGCCCAAUGCUCUUAUUAUAAACCUAAUAUUAUUGACAGUGCUGCUUGAAAGUAUGCGAAGGCCUGGUGUCCCUUAGUUUUACCACGAAAUGGUUGUUUAAUGAGAUGAGUGCUUCUCGUAUGACAUAAUCGGUGUGUGUUUUAUGUGUUUCUUUUGAGGAAAUCGUGCGUGUAGUAGAAACACAGAAAUAGCGCAGGUGCAAAAAUAAGCUGAACUGGUUUAACCAAGUAGAGAAGUGUGUGAAAAUCAUUAUCAUUUAUUAAUUUUUUAAGCUUAUUUUAAUCUUUAAUAUAAGAAUAAUGGCCACCCCUAUCGGGUCCACAUACUUUGAAGCAGCACCGUAUCAAUCCCGGAUAGGUAUCUAGCUCAAGGGCGCAACAGUAGAGCUGGGAUUCGAACCCAGGACAUUCAAAUUGCACAAUGACAGCUCGAACGGCUACAGUUGACAGGGGGAUGCUGGUACCUCGUGGAAAUGCAGUAAUGAUGCGCGUCCCAAAAUUCCCUCAACUACAGCUGCAAGUCAGAUGUAAGUCCCCGAGUGGAUCCCCGACACGGCGCUUCAUCAUUAGAUCUUUUAAAAAGGAAGCAUCGAGAGGCAGAGACAUGGGAAUUAUUCAUUUUCAACCCCUCGCGAGAGCUAUUGACAAGCCAUGUAAUUAAAAUGUUUGCGUUUACAGUAAGCAAAGUGCUCUCGGCGCUCCUAGGAUCUUAGCGUGGUUGUCGAAAUGAAAAUAAAUUUCUUGUUACCAUCAUCGUGCUUCGACGCAAGAAAACCCGAAGCCCAAAUACCGCUCCCAUUUUUUCGUCUAGACGGAACUGCCAAGGGUGAAGCAGGCAAGCAUGAAAAAGUCAAAUCAAUAUUUUAACUUAAAUUUUAAUAAUCCCAUGAAGCAACAAAUUUAACCAUCAAUGGAUUGAGCUCGGGUGACAGUUAGCCUUGUUUCUAUGACAACCCAGCAUAACGUGCACAUGUCUAGACUUGCCGGAUGGCUUUGAUAUGAACAGGAUGACAUUUAGGCCCUCCCUGUUAGGAGAAACCAUUUCUUCGUUCUAAUAUAAUUUUUUUUUUCUUUCCCCCUAAAUCAAAGAGCAAUGCCACGGACAUGUACAAGGGUGCCACGCUUUAGUGUGCCGGAAAAUUAUAAACGAAUUCAGUGCGAAUUUUUUCGGUAAUUGGAGAACAAAGCAUGUCUCGUAAUUACCAGCAUCCAGUGCACCAAAAAAUUACACCCGCUGUGUUUUAUUUUCCGCAGGAAAUAAUUGCUGAAAUAACAAAAGCGAGCCCCAUGUAAAGACUGUGCAUUAUUGUGUUUGUACGUAGUGCUGAAAUUAGAAAUAUGUCGCUAUUACAUUACAUCUGCCGGCCCUUAUUUUCCAUUGGUUAGUUAUUACGAUGAAACCAAUAACAGACAGAACAUGCUGGGAAAUCUCGUUAUUACAUUUUAUAAUCUGCAAUUUCAUUUCAUAUGAAAACAGGUUUCACUGUACCUUUUAUGGAGAACAAAGUAACCUCUUAAGGGUGUAUAUUUUAUAUAUCUAUUUCUACCAAACUAAAUGUGGGAGAAAAGCAUUGCGAUAUAGAGUGAGUAUGGAAUAUUAAAUUUCAAUGUAUCGAUAUGUCCUGAUGCGACUGAUAUUUGUGUGAUGGGUAUUAAUUUCAGUUUCGCUUUGAGCGCCAGCUGUUCUCCUGUAGGAAACAUCUGCCACCUCUUGGGAGGUCCCGAUGUCAUUUCGGACGUGACAGAGAGUGUCAGGGUGACACGGCUCCCAGCGAGAGAAGGGUGCGUCACGGGGCGCCGCUGUGAAUUUAUAGGAGCGGGGCAUGGGCGCGAGCUACGGUGUGGGAGGUCAACGGAGGCCUUCGCGUGUCAAGAAGCAUUGUCGAACUGCGCGCGUCGCCGUCGCCGAACAGCGGCCCGGCACACGUGCUACAGACGAGCGCAAGACGCAGCCCUUUUUCUUCAAUUGCUUUCUUCUGCGGAUUGGAGUCGGGUUGAGGAAACCGCUGAGACGAAGUUCUCCGAGCGCUCGGAUCGUCUCGGAUGGGAAGAGUUCGUGGAACCACGGGUGCUGCAGAUGUCCACUCGGAUAUUUGAGGCCACAGCUCAGUACCGUGUUUUCCCACUCCUAAUACACCGCUGGAUCCCCUCCAGGUGGAAACAGCCUCCGAUGCCGUCGUUCCCGGGAGGUGACCUUUAAGGCGCCCACGCCCGGCUCCUCCCCUAACCAGGGGUCAGAUUGUCUCGCCUUUGAUGCUCCUGAAGGUCAGAGAGAGGGGAAAGGGGGGUAAAAAAACCACCCCUCAAUUCUGCCACCAAUCGAUGCCUUUUUAUAUUCCUCUGAAACAGACCGGCUGGAUGUUUAGGUCUCCACAGCUUCAAAGCGAAACCAAACAGCUUCCAGCAUGGAGAGGUUUCUUGACCACUGAGUCUAGUAAUAGCAAAAAGGUAUUUAAUAACACCGGCUAUUUUAAAGUAAAUUAAAAUGCUUUCAACUGGUCCUACGGGUGAGAUGGCACCAGACUUACUGGUGUCAUUAUGGCACAAAUUUUAGCUUCUUUACAAUAAUUCAUACACCUGUAAGGGUUAUAGUUCCGGCAAUUAUGCAAGCAACUUAUGAUUUAAAAUGCUUACCUUUAAUUUAUAUGAAUUAAACCCUUACUGCUUCGGGCCUUAAGUAAAUAAGCACCAAUAGGCAUUUUAAUAUCCAGUUACAGCAUUGCCUUUCUUUCACAUUAUAUUCUCAUUUUCCUGAAUAUAAUGCAUCGUAGUGCAUAACAUAUAUAGCAGGAGCACAGUUACAGUGCUGAUGAUCAUAAGCUUGGAUAUACAGGAUACUGUGGGCGGCACAUUCCAGAUUUAGAAGGCUUACAAAGGCAGAGAAGGAUGGGAUGGAGAUGUCCAGCAAGAUGAGGGUGAUCCCAGCAGGCAAAAGAAAGUGUGGGAAGAAACUCGAGACUGAAAAUUCGUUCAGCAGACGUUUUGGAGAAAAGCUGAGGCUCUCGGAAUUCAGAAGUCCAGGUUUUGGAAGCGAACUCAAGCAGUGUUUGAAGUCCAGAUUGACAUCAACCGAGGAUGUCUGACUGUGUAAAAAUGACUGCUGUCAGUGUCGCAGAUGGAACUGGUGGGAAAUGACACUGGUUGUAAAGAGAGCCUUGGAAAGCACCAAGGACUGAUCACAAGGGCCUGAUCAGAUGGACAUGGACAUAACAUUUACCUGGCUGGCAAAAUUCCAUGACUGACAUAAUAAUUCCAUAUGUAAACUGCUUUUGACUUUCUUUUCUUUUGAAUUUUAUCAUUACAUAAUGUUAUAUCUAUUGUAUAAUAUAUAUCUUAGUCGUGAUGAAAUUUGUUUACCAUUCGGUUUGCAGGUUUCAGAUGAUCAUUAAAUCAGGCUGAAUGAAUUGUUGGUUGUGGUAAAGUAACCCCUCUUACAGUGCUGCCCUCUGUAUUUCUGUUACUCCAUCCUAUAUGAAAAGAGAAACAGUCUUUUAUUAUUGGAAAAAAGCAGUUUUUCUGCUUUAGUGGGAAGUAGUAAUUCAGCCAUUUACAUUUACAGCAUAUCCCAUUGUUAUCCUUCCCCCUUCUGUAAUUGUGCUUAAAUUCUGCAGAACAAAGUUUUUAUGGGCACUGAGGGGAAAAGUCUCACACCAUGAAAAGAAUAUUAAAAAAAUAAAAAGGCUUAACCUAAAACCUAGUGUAUUUUAAUUUGAUUUUUCCCCCCCUAUUUUCUCCAUCAACGUGAUUAUGACCCAAGCUGUUACGUGCAUCCCCGCGGAAUGAGCCGGAAUCCUUGCGCGAGAACCAGGAUGACUGUGAUUAGGCCUCGGCCCGUUUCUUUCACUAAGACCCCCCUCCCCUCCCAUCCCCAUCCCAGGCCUCACCCUGUCAUACUCGGCUGGGA